rnacentral:rRNA from 1 species
UACGUAGGGGGCUAGCGUUGUUCGGAUUUACUGGGCGUAAAGCGCACGUAGGCGGACUAUUAAGUCAGGGGUGAAAUCCCGGGGCUCAACCCCGGAACUGCCUUUGAUACUGGUAGUCUUGAGUUCGAGAGAGGUGAGUGGAAUUCCGAGUGUAGAGGUGAAAUUCGUAGAUAUUCGGAGGAACACCAGUGGCGAAGGCGGCUCACUGGCUCGAUACUGACGCUGAGGUGCGAAAGCGUGGGGAGCAAACAGG